rnacentral:misc_RNA from 1 species
CUCGUUUUAACGCCAAAAGCGGCUAACAGGUACGCUUUGAUUUCGAUGGAGAAUUAGGCCUCUCCAGAGAGUCAGACUCUUUCCGAUUCCAUUGUUUAUGUUUUGAACCAUUCAUCUCUACCUUCUCUUAGCAAACGCUACUAGUUGCAUUAGGGUUACUGUUUCGGUUUUGCUUUUGGAUUUUGCGUGGCUCACUGGAACACGUCUUUCUCUACAAGCUAUGGAGUCUACUCUGGUGAUCAAGGUUAAGUACGGUGAUACACUUAGGCGUUUCAAUGCUCAUGUUAACAAGAGUGGACAAAUUGAUUUUGACAUGAGUGGACUAAGGGCAAAAAUCCUUGGUCUAUUUAAUUUCCCUCUUAAUUCUGAUCUUACUCUGACUUAUGUUGAUGAAGAUGGUGAUGUUGUUACACUUGUUGAUGAUGAUGAUCUGCUUGAUGUGAUGAAACAAAGCCUGAAAUUUUUGAGGGUUAAUGUACAGCUGAACAAUGAUAGAUUUGGUAAAUCUUAUGCUAAAUCCUGUGGUAGUUCUAGCCCCUUGAGGUCUCCUCGAGUCCAGGAUCCAUUGCCAAACAUCAACCCCGAAGCUGCUGAUGUGCUGAAAUCUUUUCCAGAGCCACUUCGUGAGUCUCUUUCAAAGCUAUCCCUUGGCUUGUCUGACUUGACUUCAAAAAUUGUUGCUCCCAGUCCUGUGGUUGCUGAGAUUCUUGACUGCUUGUCUAAAAUGGGAAAAGCCUCCUUGAAUCCAUCUCAGCAGUCUCAAGUUGGUGCAAGUUCAAGCGCCCAAACAGGGGCUACAGAACAUCCAAUGGCUUUGGUAGUGCCUACCGAGGCAAAUGCUACCAAUGAUGAACCUAGCCGGGAGGUGACGGUUGCAAAUGUGACUAGAGCUGUGGGCGUGCCUGACAAACCUGUACUUACUCCUGUUGAUUUGAAUCUGGAUCCACCUUGUGAUUCUAAUCCAUCUGGAUGUGCAAAUGUUAUCUCUGCACCAGCACCUCAUGUUUAUGAGAGGAAAGUAACUAAGAAAAAAAAUGCUGGUCAGCCAAGUGAGAAGCCUUUUGGUAGUGGUGCAUCCUCAAGCUCUACUGAUUUAGCGAGGCCUCUUGGUAAUGAAUGCCCAUUUGGUGGAAUGCCUGCGGUAAAUGAGUCAUCUUUUAAUCCUU